rnacentral:lncRNA from 1 species
UCAGAUAGCACAACAGUUAGCUUCAAAUUCUCAAGCCCCGGGUACCCUACCCAGUGGUACGGUAACAAAUCCGCGGGAACAUAAAACUGUUAACGAUGUCGUAACCCGAAGUGGGAAGUCAACAGAAGACAACAAUAUGGAGAAAGAUAGAUUGUUAGAAGUGGAUUUAGAAAUCAAGGAAACCAAGGACCAAGAUGAAGAAGUGGUACUACCACCUGUCAAGGAGAAAGAAAAGGUUCCAAAAC